rnacentral:rRNA from 1 species
AUUGAACGCUGGCGGCAGGCCUAACACAUGCAAGUCGAGCGGAUGAAGGGAGCUUGCUCCUGGAUUCAGCGGCGGACGGGUGAGUAAUGCCUAGGAAUCUGCCUGGUAGUGGGGGCUAACGUCCGGAAACGGGCGCUAAUACCGCAUACGUCCUGAGGGAGAAAGUGGGGGAUCUUCGGACCUCACGCUAUCAGAUGAGCCUAGGUCGGAUUAGCUAGUUGGUGGGGUAAAGGCCUACCAAGGCGACGAUCCGUAACUGGUCUGAGAGGAUGAUCAGUCACACUGGAACUGAGACACGGUCCAGACUCCUACGGGAGGCAGCAGUGGGGAAUAUUGGCCAAUGGGCGAAAGCCUGAUCCAGCAAUGCCGCGUGUGUGAAGAAGGUCUUCGGAUUGUAAAGCACUUUAAGUUGGGAGGAAGGGCAGUGAGUUAAUACCUUGCUGUUUUGACAUUACCAACACAAUAAGCACCGGCUAACUUCGUG